CCUUGCAUUAGAUUUAACAAGGAAGGAACAUUGCUAGCUGUUUCAACUGAUGAUAAUGGAGUUAAAAUCUUAGCAAAUUCAGAUGGGGUUAGGUUGCAACGGACAGUGGAGAAUCAUUCGCUUGAUGCUUCUAGAGUUGCUACUGCUGCUAUAGUAAAGGCACCUAAUAUUGGUCCAUUUGGCUCUAACAACACAACUAUUGUAACAACCAUGGGUGAUCGGGCUGCACCAGUAGCUGCGAUAGUUGGAAC